rnacentral:tRNA from 2 species
CGGGAAGUGGCGCAGCUUGGUAGCGCACCUGCUUUGGGAGCAGGGGGUCGAAGGUUCAAAUCCUUUCUUCCCGA